CCUACGGGAGGCAGCAGUGGGGAAUAUUGGGCAAUGGAGGAAACUCUGACCCAGUAACGCCGCGUGAAUGAUGAAGGUCUUCGGAUUGUAAAGUUCUUUUCUAAGGGAAGAAGAAAGUGACGGUACCUUAGGAAUAAGCCUCGGCUAACUACGUGCCAGCAGCCGCGGUAAUACGUAGGAGGCAAGCGUUAUCCGGAAUGACUGGGCGUAAAGGGUGCGUAGGUGGUUUGACAAGUUGGUAGCGUAACUCCGAGGCUUAACCUCGGCACUACUACCAAAACUGUUGGACUCGAGUGCAGGAGGGGCAAAUGGAAUUCCGAGUGUAGCGGUGGAAUGCGUAGAUAUUAGGAGGAACACCAGUGGCGAAGGCGAUUUGCUGGACUGUAACUGACACUGAGGCACGAAAGCGUGGGGAGCAAACAGGAUUAGAUACCCCGGUAGUC
rnacentral:rRNA from 1 species